rnacentral:rRNA from 1 species
UACGUAGGGUGCAAGCGUUGUCCGGAAUUAUUGGGCGUAAAGAGCUCGUAGGCGGUUUGUCGCGUCUGCUGUGAAAACGCGAGGCUCAACCUCGCGCCUGCAGUGGGUACGGGCAGACUAGAGUGCGGUAGGGGAGAUUGGAAUUCCCGGGUGUAGCGGUGGAAUGCGCAGAUAUCAGGAGGAACACCGAUGGCGAAGGCAGAUCUCUGGGCCGUAACUGACGCUGAGGAGCGAAAGCGUGGGGAGCGAACAGG